rnacentral:misc_RNA from 1 species
GAGCGAAUUGAGCAAUCCAAAGACGACGAACAGAACAAGGGCAACAACGGCGCCGGAUUUAAACUUGAAGAGUGAGAGGUCGCGGCUGGAUUCCUUAAGACUGGUCUCGACGCGAUCGAUCUUCUUUGUCUUGGAUUUCUUGACGGUGAUUUUGGAGCUGUCGGUCUUCAUGGUCUCGAGCUUUUUGGCGGCCUUGUCGAUGGAGGAUCGAAGGGUUUUGUAGGAGUUGGUGCGGUAGAUGAGAAUCCAUGAGA